rnacentral:rRNA from 1 species
UACGUAGGGGGCGAGCGUUGUCCGGAUUUACUGGGCGUAAAGCGCACGCAGGCGGUCUGUUAAGUUUGGAGUGACAGUUGGUGGCUCAACCACCAAAGUGCUUUGAAAACUGGCAGACUUGAGGGCUUCAGAGGGACACGGAAUUCCGGGUGGAGUGGUGAAAUGCGUAGAGAUCCGGAGGAACACCGAAGGCGAAGGCAGUGUCCUGGGGAGUACCUGACGCUCAGGUGCGAAAGCCAGGGGAGCGAACGGG